rnacentral:rRNA from 1 species
UACGUAGGGUGCGAGCGUUAAUCGGAAUUACUGGGCGUAAAGCGUGCGCAGGCGGCGCGUUAAGACAGGUGUGAAGGCCCCGAGCUUAACUUGGGAAUUGCGCUUGUGACUGGCGAGCUGGAGUGUGGCAGAGGGAGGUGGAAUUCCACGUGUAGCAGUGAAAUGCGUAGAGAUGUGGAGGAACACCGAUGGCGAAGGCAGCCUCCUGGGCCAGCACUGACGCUCAUGCACGAAAGCGUGGGGAGCAAACAGG